rnacentral:rRNA from 1 species
AACGAACGCUGGCGGCGCGUUUUAAGCAUGCAAGUCGAACGGUAAUAGAGUGCUUGCACUCUAUGAGAGUGGCGAACGGGUGAGUAACACGUAGGUGAUCUAUCUUGAGGUCUGGGAUAGCCUGUGGAAACACAGGGUAAUACCGGAUAAGACCUGUAGACUGCGGUCUAUGGGGGAAAGGCGCUUAGGCGGUGCCUUAAGCUGAGCCUGCGGCUCAUUAGUUAGUUGGUGGGGUAAUGGCCUACCAAGGCGACGAUGAGUAGCCGGCCUGAGAGGGUGAUCGGCCACACUGGGACUGAGACACGGCCCAGACUCCUACGGGAGGCUG